UAGCUCUGGCUUCUCUUCAGUCAUGCAUAAAUCUUUCGCACUUUAUUAAAGAUUUCUGUGGUGAGGAAGAUCAAUGAGUUUGAUGUAUUUUUAUGAGCUUUGCUCUGGCAAAGCU